rnacentral:tRNA from 1 species
GCCACCGUAGCUCAGUUGGUUAGAGCGGCUGAUUCGUAAUCAGCAGGUCAUGAGUUCGACUCUCAUCAGUGGCU